rnacentral:rRNA from 1 species
CAGCCGCCGCGGUAAUACGUAGGUCCCGAGCGUUGUCCGGAUUUAUUGGGCGUAAAGCGAGCGCAGGCGGUUAGAUAAGUCUGAAGUGAAAGGCAGUGGCUCAACCAUUGUAGGCUUUGGAAACUGUUUAACUUGAGUGCAGAAGGGGAGAGUGGAAUUCCAUGUGUAGCGGUGAAAUGCGUAGAUAUAUGGAGGAACACCGGUGGCGAAAGCGGCUCUCUGGUCUGUAACUGACGCUGAGGUUCGAAAGCGUGGGGAGCGAACAGGAUUAGAGACCCCCGUAGUCCCUGUCUCUUAUACA